rnacentral:tRNA from 1 species
AAGGCUUUAGCUUAGUUAAAGUGCCUGCUUUGCAUGCAGGAGAUGUGGGUUAGUGUCUCGCAAGUCUUA